rnacentral:rRNA from 1 species
AAUAGAUACCCAGGUAGUCCACGCCGUAAACGAUGAGUGCUAAGUGUUAGAGGGUUUCCGCCCCUUAGUGCUGCAGCUAACGCAUUAAGCACUCCGCCUGGGGAGUACGGUCGCAAGACUGAAACUCAAAGGAAUUGACGGGGGCCCGCACAAGCGGUGGAGCAUGUGGUUUAAUUCGAAGCAACGCGAAGAACCUUACCAGGUCUUGACAUCCCACUGACCGGUAUAGAGAUAUACCUUUCCCUUCGGGGACAGUGGUGACAGGUGGUGCAUGGUUGUCGUCAGCUCGUGUCGUGAGAUGUUGGGUUAAGUCCCGCAACGAGCGCAACCCUUGAUCUUAGUUGCCAGCAUUUAGUUGGGCACUCUAAGGUGACUGCCGGUGACAAACCGGAGGAAGGUGGGGAUGACGUCAAAUCAUCAUGCCCCUUAUGACCUGGGCUACACACGUGCUACAAUGGAUGGUACAAAGGGCUGCAAGACUGCGAAGUCAAGCCAAUCCCAUAAAACCAUUCUCAGUUCGGAUUGC